GAUGAACGCUAGCGGCAGGCCUAACACAUGCAAGUCGAGGGGGUAACAUAGAAAAGCUUGCUUUUCUGAUGACGACCGGCGCACGGGUGCGUAACGCGUAUACAACCUACCUUUUAGCGGGGAAUAGCCCAGGGAAACUUGGAUUAAUGCCCCAUAGUAUAUGGACUUCUCCUGAAGUUUAUAUUAAACAUUUAUGGCUAUUAGAUGGGUAUGCGUCCUAUUAGUUAGUUGGUAAGGUAACGGCUUACCAAGGCAGCGAUAGGUAGGGGUCCUGAGAGGGAGAUCCCCACACUGGUACUGAGACACGGACCAGACUCCUACGGGAGGCAGCAGUGAGGAAUAUUGGACAAUGGGCGAGAGCCUGAUCCAGCCAUGCCGCGUGCAGGAAGACUCGCCCUAUGGGUUAGUAAACUGUCUUUUACAGAGGAAGAACCCACCCCACGUGUGGGGGUUUGACGGUACUCUGCGAAUAAGGAUCGGCUAACUCCGUG
rnacentral:rRNA from 1 species